AGUGAACGCUGGCGGUAGGCCUAACACAUGCAAGUCGAACGGCAGCACAGUAAGAGCUUGCUCUUACGGGUGGCGAGUGGCGGACGGGUGAGGAAUACAUCGGAAUCUACUUUUUCGUGGGGGAUAACGUAGGGAAACUUACGCUAAUACCGCAUACGACCUACGGGUGAAAGCAGGGGAUCUUCGGACCUUGCCCGAUUGAAUGAGCCGAUGCCGGAUUAGCUAGUUGGCGGGGUAAAGGCCCACCAAGGCGACGAUCCGUAGCUGGUCUGAGAGGAUGAUCAGCCACACUGGAACUGAGACACGGUCCAGACUCCUACGGGAGGCAGCAGUGGGGAAUAUUGGACAAUGGGCGCAAGCCUGAUCCAGCCAUACCGCGUGGGUGAAGAAGGCCUUCGGGUUGUAAAGCCCUUUUGUUGGGAAAGAAAAGCAGCAGGUUAAUACCCCGCUGUUCUGACGGUACCCAAAGAAUAAGCACCGGCUAACUUCGUG
rnacentral:rRNA from 1 species